rnacentral:rRNA from 2 species
GCAGUCGAGCGGACUUAAAAAGCUUGCUUUUUAAGUUAGCGGCGGACGGGUGAGUAACACGUGGGCAACCUGCCUGUAAGACUGGGAUAACUUCGGGAAACCGGAGCUAAUACCGGAUAAUCCUUUCCUACUCAUGUAGGAAAGCUGAAAGACGGUUUACGCUGUCACUUACAGAUGGGCCCGCGGCGCAUUAGCUAGUUGGUGAGGUAACGGCUCACCAAGGCGACGAUGCGUAGCCGACCUGAGAGGGUGAUCGGCCACACUGGGACUGAGACACGGCCCAGACUCCUACGGGAGGCAGCAGUAGGGAAUCUUCCGCAAUGGACGAAAGUCUGACGGAGCAACGCCGCGUGAGUGAUGAAGGUUUUCGGAUCGUAAAACUCUGUUGUUAGGGAAGAACAAGUACGAGAGUAACUGCUCGUACCUUGACGGUACCUAACCAGAAAGCCACGGCUAACUACGUGCCAGCAGCCGCGGUAAUACGUAGGUGGCAAGCGUUGUCCGGAAUUAUUGGGCGUAAAGCGCGCGCAGGCGGUCCUUUAAGUCUGAUGUGAAAGCCCACGGCUCAACCGUGGAGGGUCAUUGGAAACUGGGGGACUUGAGUGCAGAAGAGAAGAGUGGAAUUCCACGUGUAGCGGUGAAAUGCGUAGAGAUGUGGAGGAACACCAGUGGCGAAGGCGACUCUUUGGUCUGUAACUGACGCUGAGGCGC